CGACAUUGCAUUCCUUAACAACAUUUUCCACAGCACAAUUAGAUCCUUCAACCCCUUCUGAGAGUCCUGUUGGUCUACUGAAAGGCAACAGUGCUGCACUCGUGUCAAUGAUAACUAAUCUGACAGUAGUGGUGAUGGCCACAAUAACAUGUGUGAUUCUUUAUUUCAAAACCCGAAGCAACAAAAUCAACAGCCAGAUUGAACUGAACUGCAAGUCAUUUGUCUGUUAUUCAGAAAUGUCAGGAGGGUUUGAUAUCCCGCUAUGUGAUAAGCCUAACUGAACAGCAUAUACUCAACAAAUAUUCAUGAACCUGAACAAUAUUAAAAUAAGCAAGCAAGCUAACAUCCAUGACAAUAGAAUGCAGUAAAAUAAUUGAAACCACUGUAUUUAAUGCUUGUAUUUUUUUUUCUAAUGAGUUCAUAAACAUGUUUUGCUUAAAGUUUAUUUGAGAUAAGCAAUUCUUGUAAUUUUAGAGACUGGACCUGUCCCAGUAUUCACACUUGUGGUCUUUGCAUUUAGCUUGGCUUCUUGUAUACUGUAUAUCUUAUAUUUGGCCCAAUUGAUCAAGUAAUUUUGAAUACUGCAAGUACAUAUACAAUUUUUGCUAAACAUGUAGUUUCAAAUAAAAAGUUAU